rnacentral:rRNA from 1 species
CAGCCGCCACGGUAAUACGAAGGGGGCUAGCGUUGUUCGGAUUUACUGGGCGUAAAGGGCGCGUAGGCGGACUGAUAAGUCAGGGGUGAAAUCCCAAGGCUCAACCUUGGAACUGCCUUUGAUACUGUUUGUCUUGAGUUCGAGAGAGGUAAGUGGAACUGCGAGUGUAGAGGUGAAAUUCGUAGAUAUUCGCAAGAACACCAGUGGCGAAGGCGGCUUACUGGCUCGAAACUGACGCUGAGGCGCGAAAGCGUGGGGAGCAAACAGGAUUAGAUACCCGCGUAGUCCCUGUCUCUUAUAC